ACAGGCUUAACACAUGCAAGUCGAGGGGCAGCAUGGUCUUAGCUUGCUAAGGCCGAUGGCGACCGGCGCACGGGUGAGUAACACGUAUCCAACCUGCCGUCUACUCUUGGACAGCCUUCUGAAAGGAAGAUUAAUACAAGAUGGCAUCAUGAGUCCGCAUGUUCACAUGAUUAAAGGUAUUCCGGUAGACGAUGGGGAUGCGUUCCAUUAGAUAGUAGGCGGGGUAACGGCCCACCUAGUCUUCGAUGGAUAGGGGUUCUGAGAGGAAGGUCCCCCACAUUGGAACUGAGACACGGUCCAAACUCCUACGGGAGGCAGCAGUGAGGAAUAUUGGUCAAUGGGCGCAGGCCUGAACCAGCCAAGUAGCGUGAAGGAUGACUGCCCUAUGGGUUGUAAACUUCUUUUAUAAAGGAAUAAAGUCGGGUAUGUAUACCCGUUUGCAUGUACUUUAUGAAUAAGGAUCGGCUAACUCCGUGCCAGCAGCCGCGGUAAUACGGAGGAUCCGAGCGUUAUCCGGAUUUAUUGGGUUUAAAGGGAGCGUAGAUGGAUGUUUAAGUCAGUUGUGAAAGUUUGCGGCUCAACCGUAAAAUUGCAGUUGAUACUGGAUAUCUUGAGUGCAGUUGAGGCAGGCGGAAUUCGUGGUGUAGCGGUGAAAUGCUUAGAUAUCACGAAGAACUCCGAUUGCGAAGGCAGCCUGCUAAGCUGCAACUGACAUUGAGGCUCGAAAGUGUGGGUAU
rnacentral:rRNA from 1 species